CAGUCGCCGCGGUAAUACGGAGGGGGCUAGCGUUGUUCGGAAUUACUGGGCGUAAAGCGCACGUAGGCGGCUUGGUAAGUUAGAGGUGAAAGCCCGGAGCUCAACUCCGGAAUUGCCUUUAAGACUGCCGAGCUAGCAGGUGAGAGAGGUAAGUGGAAUUCCGAGUGUAGAGGUGAAAUGCGUAGAUAUCGGAAGGAACACCUGUGGCGAAAGCGGCUCACUGGACCAUAACUGACGCUGAUGCACGAAAGCUAGGGGAGCAAACAGGAUUAGAUACCCGGGUAGUCCCUGUCUCUUAUAU
rnacentral:rRNA from 1 species